CGACCCGCCGCGGGAGGAGGCACUCACCUGAGUAGAACCCGCGCCGGACGGUCCAGGCUCAGAGAAAACGCGGAAGCAGAAUUGAGCCUGAUCCCUUUCCCCUGCUGCAAAGCCCCACUGCAGGGGUCCCUGCACCUGUGGCAGUGGUCCUGAAUAAAGUCGGCUUCACUGUUCUUUAACAACAGCAAGAUUCCCAGCAGUGGUGGAACCAGUCCCAGCGCCCAGCAACUGAAUGGAUGAACCAAAUGUGGUAACA